AUUGAACGCUGGCGGCAGGCCUAACACAUGCAAGUCGAAUGGUAACAGGAAACAGCUUGCUGUUUCGCUGACGAGUGGCGGACGGGUGAGUAAUGUCUGGGAAACUGCCUGAUGGAGGGGGAUAACUACUGGAAACGGUAGCUAAUACCGCAUAACGUCGCAAGACCAAAGAGGGGGACCUUCGGGCCUCUUGCCAUCAGAUGUGCCCAGAUGGGAUUAGCUAGUAGGUGGGGUAACGGCUCACCUAGGCGACGAUCCCUAGCUGGUCUGAGAGGAUGACCAGCCACACUGGAACUGAGACACGGUCCAGACUCCUACGGGAGGCAGCAGUGGGGAAUAUUGCACAGUGGGCGCAAGCCUGAUGCAGCCAUGCCGCGUGUAUGAAGAAGGCCUUCGGGUUGUAAAGUACUUUCAGCGGGGAGGAAGGGAGUAAAGUUAAUACCUUUGCUCAUUGACGUUACCCGCAGAAGAAGCACCGGCUAACUCCGU
rnacentral:rRNA from 1 species